UCCGCCGUGACGCACCAGCUGAUUAGUCCGCUGUGUUCGGUUGCGGCGUCGGCGUGUGCAGAGGGGUCGCGCGCCGCAACUACUAUCAGCGUCGCAUGCUGUGCUGUGUCGGGGUCGGCUGACGCCCCACGUCUCUCUGUCACUGAAGUCGCCGUGUUUGACGUGCCGGCGGCUGCCUCUUGAAUGGGACGGCGGCUGGUGGCGGCGGCGCAGCCAGACAGAUUGCCGAGCAGUAAAAGUCUCCUCUAAAUCGACGCAGUGGGUUUCAGCAG